rnacentral:lncRNA from 10 species
UGGGAUUACAGGUGUGAGCCACCACACCCGGCCAACAAUGCAAACUUCUUUUAAAAAUUUGUUUUUAAAUUUUUUGUGGGUACAUAAUAGGUGUAUGUAUUUAUGAGGUACAUGAGAUGUUUUGAUACAGGCAUGCAAUGUGAAAUAAGCACAUCAUGGAGAAUGGGGUGUCUAUCCCUCAAGCAUUUAUCUUUGUGUUGCAAACAAUCUAAUUACACUCUAAGUUAUUUUAAAAUGUAUAGUUAAGUUAUUAUUGACUAUAGUCACCCUUUUGUGCUAUCAAAUAGUAGGUCUUAUUCUAACUAUUUUUUAAAAAUGUGGAACACUUCACGAAUUUGUGUGUCAUCCUUGUGCAGGGGCCUCCCUAACCUCUCUGUUGUUCCAAUUUUAGUAUAUGUGUUGCUUAAGUGAGCACUAGAAUGCAAACUUCUUAAGAAUAGAGGUUUUUAUUUGUGUAUUAACUAAUUUCCCUAGCACCUAGAAGAGUUUCUGGUAUAAAGUAG